rnacentral:rRNA from 1 species
UCUGGUGGUAAUAGCGGAGGGGAAACACCCGUUCCCAUCCCGAACACGGCAGUUAAGCCCUCCAGCGCCGAUGGUACUGGGGAGUAUUCCCCGGGAGAGUAGGACACCGCCAGGAA